rnacentral:rRNA from 1 species
AGUGAACGCUGGCGGUAGGCCUAACACAUGCAAGUCGAACGGCAGCACAGGAGAGCUUGCUCUCUGGGUGGCGAGUGGCGGACGGGUGAGGAAUACAUCGGAAUCUACUUUUUCGUGGGGGAUAACGUAGGGAAACUUACGCUAAUACCGCAUACGACAUACGGGUGAAAGCAGGGGACCUUCGGGCCUUGCGCGAUUGAAUGAGCCGAUGUCGGAUUAGCUAGUUGGCGGGGUAAAGGCCCACCAAGGCGGCGAUCCGUAGCUGGUCUGAGAGGAUGAUCAGCCACACUGGAACUGAGACACGGUCCAGACUCCUACGGGAGGCAGCAGCGGGGAAUAUUGGACAAUGGGCGCAAGCCUGAUCCAGCCAUACCGCGUGGGUGAAGAAGGCCUUCGGGUUGUAAAGCCCUUUUGUUGGGAAAGAAAUCCAGCUGGCUAAUACCCGGUUGGGAUGACGGUACCCAAAGAAUAAGCACCGGCUAACUUCGUGCCAGCCGCCGCCGUAA